rnacentral:rRNA from 1 species
AAAUUGAAGAGUUUGAUCAUGGCUCAGAUUGAACGCUGGCGGCAGGCCUAACACAUGCAAGUCGAACGGUAGCACAGAGAGCUUGCUCUCGGGUGACGAGUGGCGGACGGGUGAGUAAUGUCUGGGAAACUGCCUGAUGGAGGGGGAUAACUACUGGAAACGGUGGCUAAUACCGCAUAACGUCGCAAGACCAAAGAGGGGGACCUUCGGGCCUCUUGCCAUCAGAUGUGCCCAGAUGGGAUUAGCUAGUUGGUGAGGUAACGGCUCACCAAGGCGACGAUCCCUAGCUGGUCUGAGAGGAUGACCAGCCACACUGGAACUGAGACACGGUCCAGACUCCUACGGGAGGCAGCAGUGGGGAAUAUUGCACAAUGGGCGCAAGCCUGAUGCAGCCAUGCCGCGUGUAUGAAGAAGGCCUUCGGGUUGUAAAGUACUUUCAGCGGGGAGGAAGGUGUUGUGGUUAAUAACCGCAGCAAUUGACGUUACCCGCAGAAGAAGCACCGGCUAACUCCGUGCCAGCAGCCGCGGUAAUACGGAGGGUGCAAGCGUUAAUCGGAAUUACUGGGCGUAAAGCGCACGCAGGCGGUCUGUCAAGUCGGAUGUGAAAUCCCCGGGCUCAACCUGGGAACUGCAUUCGAAACUGGCAGGCUUGAGUCUUGUAGAGGGGGGUAGAAUUCCAGGUGUAGCGGUGAAAUGCGUAGAGAUCUGGAGGAAUACCGGUGGCGAAGGCGGCCCCCUGGACAAAGACUGACGCUCAGGUGCGAAAGCGUGGGGAGCAAACAGGAUUAGAUACCCUGGUAGUCCACGCCGUAAACGAUGUCUACUUGGAGGUUGUGCCCUUGAGGCGUGGCUUCCGGAGCUAACGCGUUAAGUAGACCGCCUGGGGAGUACGGCCGCAAGGUUAAAACUCAAAUGAAUUGACGGGGGCCCGCACAAGCGGUGGAGCAUGUGGUUUAAUUCGAUGCAACGCGAAGAACCUUACCUGGUCUUGACAUCCACAGAACUUUCCAGAGAUGGAUUGGUGCCUUCGGGAACUGUGAGACAGGUGCUGCAUGGCUGUCGUCAGCUCGUGUUGUGAAAUGUUGGGUUAAGUCCCGCAACGAGCGCAACCCUUAUCCUUUGUUGCCAGCGGUCCGGCCGGGAACUCAAAGGAGACUGCCAGUGAUAAACUGGAGGAAGGUGGGGAUGACGUCAAGUCAUCAUGGCCCUUACGACCAGGGCUACACACGUGCUACAAUGGCGCAUACAAAGAGAAGCGACCUCGCGAGAGCAAGCGGACCUCAUAAAGUGCGUCGUAGUCCGGAUUGGAGUCUGCAACUCGACUCCAUGAAGUCGGAAUCGCUAGUAAUCGUGGAUCAGAAUGCCACGGUGAAUACGUUCCCGGGCCUUGUACACACCGCCCGUCACACCAUGGGAGUGGGUUGCAAAAGAAGUAGGUAGCUUAACCUUCGGGAGGGCGCUUACCACUUUGUGAUUCAUGACUGGGGUGAAGUCGUAACAAGGUAACCGUAGGGGAACCUGCGGUUGGAUCACCUCCUUACCUUAAAGAA